rnacentral:rRNA from 1 species
AGUGAACGCUGGCGGUAGGCCUAACACAUGCAAGUCGAACGGCAGCACAGUAAGAGCUUGCUCUUACGGGUGGCGAGUGGCGGACGGGUGAGGAAUACAUCGGAAUCUACUUUUUCGUGGGGGAUAACGUAGGGAAACUUACGCUAAUACCGCAUACGACCUACGGGUGAAAGCAGGGGAUCUUCGGACCUUGCGCGAUUGAAUGAGCCGAUGUCGGAUUAGCUAGUUGGCGGGGUAAAGGCCCACCAAGGCAACGAUGCGUAGCUGGUCUGAGAGGAUGAUCGGCCACCAUGGAACAGGGACACGGUCCAGACCCCUACGGGAGGCAGCAGUGGGGAAUAUUCGGCAAUGGGCGAAAGCCUGGCGGAGCCAAGCCGCGUGGGGGAAAAAAGGCUUCGGGUCGUAAAACCCUUUUUUUGGGGAAGAAAAAAUGGGAAGGUAACUACCCGCGUCUUGACGGUACCCAAUAAAAAAACCACGGCUAACUUCGUG